rnacentral:lncRNA from 1 species
UUCAUUCUAAGAGUGUUAUCUUAUGACUAAAUUUCACAGAGUCCAAGAAGAGAGACUUGUCUUUUUUGGAGAAUGUUGUGCAGAGACAAAAUAAGAAAGCUGGACAUCAUGUAAGAUUUAUUGCCAACAUUGCAACUUUUCAUACAAACAAGGAGCAUUCCUUGGAUCUCAGCAGAGUGGUUCUUCAGUGUUCACAGGAAGUUAAAUGUUUCUUCUAGGCACUGGAGAUGGAAGCUGGCUACCUGAGAUACUAGAGAAAUCACAAGCAACCAGAAGAUUUGCUCUGCAUAAGGUACUAGAUUCUCAACACAAGAUUUAAAACGCCAUACUGCUAUCACCUAAAAUAUCAAAGCUGUUUUGUCCAUUGUAGUUAGCU